rnacentral:rRNA from 1 species
GACGAACGCUGGCGGCGUGCCUAAUACAUGCAAGUCGAACGAACCGCGACUAAGUGCUUGCACUAAGUCAAGGUGAGUGGCGAACGGGUGAGUAACACGUGGGUAACCUACCUCAUAGUGGGGGAUAACAGUCGGAAACGACUGCUAAUACCGCAUAGGACAUAGGAUCACAUGAUCCAGUGAGGAAAGGUGGCGCAAGCUAUCGCUAAGAGAUGGACCCGCGGUGCAUUAGCUAGUUGGUAGGGUAAAGGCCUACCAAGGCGAUGAUGCAUAGCCGACCUGGGAGGGUGAUCGGCCACAUUGGGACUGAGACACGGCCCAAACUCCUACGGGAGGCAGCAGUAGGGAAUCUUCCGCAAGGGACGAAAGUCUGACGGAGCAAGGCCGCGUGAGUGAAGAAGGUCUUCGGAUCGUAAAGCUCUGUUGUUAGAGAAGAACAGCGCAUAGAGUAACUGCUAUGCGUGUGACGGUAUCUAACCAGAAAGCCACGGCUAACUACGUG